UGAGUUAAAAAGCACACUAUAAAAAAAAAAAAUGUCUGAAGUUUUUUUUUUAAAAUAGUGCUAAUUAUCUCC